GGGUUGUGAGGUUAAGCGACUAAGCGUACACGGUGGAUGCCCUGGCAGUCAGAGGCGAUGAAGGGCGUGCUAAUCUGCGAUAAGCGCCGGUAAGGUGAUAUGAACCGUUAUAACCGGCGAUACCCGAAUGGGGAAACCCAGUGUGAUUCGUCACACUAUCAUUAACUGAAUCCAUAGGUUAAUGAGGCGAACCGGGGGAACUGAAACAUCUAAGUACCCCGAGGAAAAGAAAUCAACCGAGAUUCCCCCAGUAGCGGCGAGCGAACGGGGAGGAGCCCAGAGCCUGAAUCAGCAUGUGUGUUAGUGGAAGCGUCUGGAAAGGCGCGCGAUACAGGGUGACAGCCCCGUACACAAAAGCGCAUAUGCUGUGAGCUCGAUGAGUAGGGCGGGACACGUGGUAUCCUGUCUGAAUAUGGGGGGACCAUCCUCCAAGGCUAAAUACUCCUGACUGACCGAUAGUGAACCAGUACCGUGAGGGAAAGGCGAAAAGAACCCCGGCGAGGGGAGUGAAAAAGAACCUGAAACCGUGUACGUACAAGCAGUGGGAGCCCCACCACUAAGCCAGUGGUGAACUCCACAUACGCAUCCUUUGCUGAGGAGACGGUUAACGGAGCG
rnacentral:rRNA from 2 species